GCGUCUGAUUAGCUUGUUGGCGGGGUAACGGCCCACCAAGGCGACGAUCAGUAGGGGUUCUGAGAGGAAGGUCCCCCACAUUGGAACUGAGACACGGUCCAAACUCCUACGGGAGGCAGCAGUGAGGAAUAUUGGUCAAUGGGCGAGAGCCUGAACCAGCCAAGUAGCGUGCAGGAUGACGGCCCUAUGGGUUGUAAACUGCUUUUAUAAGGGAAUAAAGUGAGUCUCGUGAGACUUUUUGCAUGUACCUUAUGAAUAAGGACCGGCUAAUUCCGUGCCAGCAGCCGCGGUAAUACGGAAGGUCCGGGCGUUAUCCGGAUUUAUUGGGUUUAAAGGGAGCGUAGGCCGGAGAUUAAGCGUGUUGUGAAAUGUAGACGCUCAACGUCUGCACUGCAGCGCGAACUGGUUUCCUUGAGUACGCACAAAGUGGGCGGAAUUCGUGGUGUAGCGGUGAAAUGCUUAGAUAUCGCGAAGAACUCCGAUUGCGAAGGCAGCUCACUGGAGCGCAACUGACGCUGAAGCUCGAAAGUGCGGGUAUCGAACAGGAUUAGAUACCCUGGUAGUCCGCACGGUAAACGAUGGAUGCCCGCUGUUGGUCUGAAUAGGUCAGCGGCCAAGCGAAAGCAUUAA
rnacentral:rRNA from 1 species